UACAUUUUAGUAUAUGAGGUACUUAAAUUUUUGAUAUUUAAAGGGAUAGUUUGAUUCUGUUAAAUGUAA
rnacentral:tRNA from 1 species